rnacentral:rRNA from 1 species
CCGCGGGAUAGAGUUUGAUCCUGGCUCAGAAUCAACCCUGGCGGCGUGCCUAAUACAUGCAAGUCGAACGCGAAAGUCCCGCAAGGGAUGAGUAGAGUGGCAAACGGGUGAGUAACACGUGGGUGACCUGCCUUCGAGCGGGGGAUAACGUCCCGAAAGGGACGCUAAUACCGCAUGACAUCCUGCCUUUGAAGAGGCGGAGAUCAAAGCUGGGGAUCGCAAGACCUGGCACUUGAAGAGGGGCCCGCGCCUGAUUAGCUAGUUGGUGGGGUAACGGCUCACCAAGGCAACGAUCAGUAUCCGGCCUGAGAGGGCGGACGGACACACUGGGACUGAGACACGGCCCAGACUCCUACGGGAGGCAGCAGUAGGGAAUUGUUCGCAAUGGGCGCAAGCCUGACGACGCAACGCCGCGUGGAGGAUGAAGACCUUCGGGUCGUAAACUCCUUUCGAUCGAGACGAAUGGCUUCCGGCUGAAUAAUCCGGGAGAAUGACGGUACCGAGAGAAGAAGCCCCGGCUAACUCCGUGCCAGCAGCCGCGGUAAUACGGGGGGGGCAAGCGUUGUUCGGAAUUACUGGGCGUAAAGGGCUCGUAGGUGGCCAACUAAGUCAGACGUGAAAUCCCUCGGCUUAACCGGGGAACUGCGUCUGAUACUGGAUGGCUUGAGAUUGGGAGAGGGAUGCGGAAUUCCAGGUGUAGCGGUGAAAUGCGUAGAUAUCUGGAGGAACACCGGUGGCGAAGGCGGCAUCCUGGACCAACACUGACACUGAGGAGCGAAAGCCAGGGGAGCAAACGGGAUUAGAUACCCCGGUAGUCCUGGCCCUAAACGGUGAAUGCUUGGUGUGGCGGGUAUCGAUCCCUGCCG